AUUAUUAAUAAUUAAUUGAUUAUUUGCAUUUAUUUUAUUUGUGGUUUUUAAUGUAAUUAAUUAAUUAUGUGUUAAUUGUUGGUUUACGUGUUUUUAAUAGAAAUAACACGUUAAGAAUAGAAUGAGGGAAGUGAUGUGUUAGAAUAUGUUUUAGGCUCAUUUAGUAGAGGGGUAUUUUGGUAAAAGAAGAAGGUGGUAAACCUAACUAUAUAAGGACCAAGUUAGAGAGAGGUUGUCAUAAAUUAUGAUUUUGAUGGAGGUAGAGAGAGAAGCUCUCAAGAAAGAAAGAUAAAGAGAAAGUUAGAGAAAAGAAGAGAAAGAAUGAAUAGGAAAGCUAAGUAGAGGGGAAGAUUGAAGAAGAGCUAGGAGAUGAAGGACUAGAGAAUCCAACAUCAAUAAGGUAUGAGAGUAGUAAUUUAUUCAUUUUGAGAUGGUUCAUAAAGAGGGGAGAAAAAC
rnacentral:lncRNA from 1 species